rnacentral:rRNA from 1 species
CCUACGGGAGGCAGCAGUGGGGAAUAUUGCACAAUGGGCGGAAGCCUGAUGCAGCGACGCCGCGUGAGGGAUGAAGGCCUUCGGGUUGUAAACCUCUUUCAGCAGGGACGAAGCGUGAGUGACGGUACCUGCAGAAGAAGCACCGGCUAACUACGUGCCAGCAGCCGCGGUAAUACGUAGGGUGCGAGCGUUGUCCGGAAUUACUGGGCGUAAAGAGUUCGUAGGCGGUUUGUCGCGUCGUUUGUGAAAACCCGGGGCUCAACUUCGGGCUUGCAGGCGAUACGGGCAGACUUGAGUGUUUCAGGGGAGACUGGAAUUCCUGGUGUAGCGGUGAAAUGCGCAGAUAUCAGGAGGAACACCGGUGGCGAAGGCGGGUCUCUGGGAAACAACUGACGCUGAGGAACGAAAGCGUGGGUAGCAAACAGGAUUAGAUACCCUGGUAGUCCACGCCGUAAACGGUGGCGCUAGGUGUGGGUUCCUUCCACGGGAUCUGUGCCGUAGCUAACGCAUUAAGCGCCCCGCCUGGGGAGUACGGCCGCAAGGCUAAAACUCAAAGGAAUUGACGG